GUAGAUAUUAACUGUUGGCCUUCAACAUUUAAGAGAUGCCCUUUCAUGGAUGGACAGAUUGGUUACUGAAGCAGAAACUUCACACAAGUUGCUACAAUAGGAGAAAUGUCUAAACAGCUGCUUGUUUCAUGGAGGAAGACUAUUAGCAAUAAAUUGCUAGAAACACAACACCUGAAUUGACAAGAGUUCCAUCUGACUCAAAAGUCCAUUCUUUUCGAUAUAAAUACUGUCUUGAUAACUGAUUACUUCAUCUUCGCUCUUUUGAAACUGUAGAGAGGCUCUCUUCAAAUAGAUAAAUGUCCUAACUGCUGGAGUCAGAUGUCGUGGUCCUUAAAAUAACUCUGGUUGGAGACACAACUUUCCUUGACCUUUUUGCUCUCCUAGACAAAGUUGGGGAAGAAAGGAUGAGCUCGGGGAUUCAAAUUUCCAGUUCAAACCCCGCAUGAAUGACUCAGAUACUUCUACGUCUACCUGAAAGAGAUCCUUAUCUCCUACAGCUGUAAAGCAGCACUGCAGAAAACAAAACCCAGGGCCUCACGCUGUGAGUGGCUUAAUCACAAUGCAGAUUGAAUUUUUGUUUCAUCUUUAUUGGAGUAUAAUUGCUUUACAGUAUUGUGUUAGUUUCUGCUGUUUAACAAAGUGAAUCAGCUAUACGUAUACAUAUAUCCCCACAUCCCCUCCCUCUUGAGCCUCCCUCCCACCCUCCCUAUCCCACCCCUUUAGGUCUUCACACAGCACUGAGCUGAUCUCCCUGUGCUCUGUAGCAGCUUCUCACUAGCUAUUUUACAUUUGGUAGUGUGUGUAGGUCAAUGCUACUCUCUCACUACAUCCCACCUUCCCCUCUCCCCACUUCCCCCCAGUGUCCUCAAGUUCGUUCUCUACGUCUGCAUCUCUAUUCCUGCCCUGCCGCUAGGUUCAUCAGUACCAUUUUUCUAGAUUCCAUAUAUAUGCAUUAGCGUACGGUAUUUGUUUUUCUCUUUCUGGCUUACUUCACUCUGUACAACAGACUCUAGGUCCAUCCACCUCACUACAAAUAACUCAAUUUCAUUCCUUUUUAUGGCUGAGUAAUAUUCCAUUAUAUAUAUAUGUGCUGUAUCUUCUUCAUCCAGUCAUCUGUCGAUUGAAUUCUGAACCUCACAGGGUAUAUACUGUUAAAGCUCGAGCAUUGAUUAGUGUUGUGGACUAGACUGUGUCCCCUCAAAAUCCACAUGUUAAAGCCCUAACCCCCAAUGUGACUGUAUUUGGAGCUAGGGAGGUAAUUAAGCUUAAAUGAGGUCAUUAGGGGAGGACCCUAAUCUGAUAGGAUUGAUGUCUUUAUAAGAAGAAACACUGAAGCUCUCUUUGCACUUGUGCAGAGGAAAGGCCAUGUGAGGCCACGGCAGAAGGUGGCCACCCAUAAGCCAGGAAGACAGCCCUCACCAGAAAUCAAAUUUGCUGGCCUCUUGAUCUUGGACUUCUAGUCUGCAGAACUGUGAGAAAAUACAUUUCUGCUAUUUAAGCCACCCAGUCCGUGGUAUUUUGUUAUAUCAGCCUGAGCAGACUAAUAUAAUUGGGAAGGAAUGUGAUCCUGAAAGUUGUGAUAAAAGAUAUUUUCACAUAUUGAGUUAUGAGGAAGUCAUUCUGGCUUAUACAGGAGUUAACUUGAAUUUUAUGCUGACCAAAACAGCCCAUUUGUGGCCUAUCAAGCAUACGUUGUACAUCUGCUUUAAUUGUUAAAGAAAAGGGUGCACUGACCAGAGGUAAAGAAUGUCCAUGUUAAAAAUAAAGAUUAAAUGCCUCCCUUCCCGGGAUGCCCCUGCUGGUCCUCCUUCCAGGAUAAGACUCCCUUCCCAAGUGCCAAGGCCAUAGUGACUCACUGUGCACAUGCCGAUCUGCUUUUCUCUGAAACAAAGGAAUGUAUCCCUGACUUUGAUAUUCUUUGUUCUAACAAGACAUAAAACUGGGCUGAAAACCGUGCCUCUCUGGAGCAGUUCCUCGGAGUUAUCUGAGAGGCUUUCAGGCUAUAGUUCUCUGUUUGGCUCAAAUAAAACUCUUUUCUAUUCCUAUUAUAGACUGUUCAUUAUUUUCAAGGACCGUUGGGGUGGGGAUAUAUGCAAAGAUCCUGAUGAAGCUGGGAGGAGAGUCUUCUUUGCCAGCCUAUCUAAGCAGAUUAACUCUGCUUUGCCUGCGAAAACGGUCAGAAAUUUCGGUGGGAGCUGCUUCCACUAAGCUGGGCGACCGAAGUGCAACAGGAGUAACUGGACCUGGGGUGCAGGGGCCAAGGGACAGCACCUGAAGGGCAAUCCCCACAGUGGACAGACCUUGGAGCUGUCCAUUUUGCUUGGAAGGAGAAAUGGCCGGGUGUGAGAUCAUAUACCACUUCACGAGCUGUAACCAAUGGUGUGGCUGGAUGGGCAGGGACUCGGAAGGAACGUGACUGGAACACUGGUAACAAAGGAAGUCCGGGAAGAGGUAUGUGGGCAGACCUCUAUGAACGGGCAAAAGCCACAAAGAUAUUUGUUUCCCCCGUGAACGCUCACCAGAGAGUGACCUCAGCAGAGGGAGAUUUUAAUCAAGGGAAUAGGAUGACCCACUCUGUGGAUACCAGUCAGCCUCUUUCCCCAGUCUCCCCUGUCAUCACUCAGUGAGCCCAGGAGCAAAGUGGCUAUGGUGGCAGGAAUGGAGGUCAGGCACGGACUCAGCAACAUGGACUUCUGCUACUCACCAAGCUCAACCUGGCUACAGCCACUGCUGAGCGUCCAGCCUGCCAGCACCAGACAGCAACGCGGAGUCCCCGCUCCGGCACCACUCCCCGGGAUGAUCAGCCAACUCCCCAUCUGGCAGUGGGUUUAUUACACUGGACAGCUUCCACCAUGGAAGGGGCAAUGUUUUGUUCUUGCCGGAAUGAACAUUUACUCUGCAUACAGAUUUGCCUUCCUGCACAUAAUGCUUCUGCCAGAACUGCCAUCUGUGGAUUUAUAGAAUGCCUUACCAACCACCAUGGUACUUUCCGCAGUAUUGCUUCUGAUGGAGGAACUCACUUCACAGCAAAUGAAGUACGUGAAUGGGCUCAUGAUCAUGGGGUUCAGUGGUCUGACCAUGUUCCCUAUCAUCCUGAAGCAUCUGGCUUGACAGAGGACGUUGGAAUGUCCUUUGGAAGACUCAGUUAUAGCAUCAGCUAGGUAGCAGUACCAGCAGUAGGGAUGGGGCGAGGUUCUCUAGCAAGCUAUAUACGCUCUGAAUCUGAAUGCCUGCUGUUUCUCCAACAGGCAGGAUUCAAGACUCCAGCAAUCAAGGGCUGGAAAUGGGCAUGGUACCACUACUACCCCUACUGGCCCACCAGCAAAGUUUUGCUUCUCGUGCCUAAAACCUUAUGCUCUGAUAGCCUAGAGGCCUUAGUUCCGAAGGAAGGACAAUUCCAUUAAACUGUGAGUUAAGACUGCCACUUGGCCACUUUGGGCUCCUCAUGCCUCUGAAUCAACAGGCACAGAAGGGAGUUCUGUGCUGGCUGGGGUGAUUGGUCCUUAUUACCUAGGAGAAAUGGGACUCCUCCCCCACAAUGGACAUAAGGAAGAGUGUGUCUGGAAAAAAGGAGAACCUUUAGGGCAUCUCUUAGUAUUACCAUGCCCUGUGAUUAAAGUCGAUGGAAAACUACUACCACACCAUUUGGGCAGGACUUCUAAUGGCCCGGAUCCUUCAGGAAUGAAGGUUUGAGCCACCUCACCCAACUAAUGAAGGUAAAGAGCCAUGGCCACCUGAGGUACUUGCUGAGGGCACAGGGUACGUGCAAUGGGUAGAGGAAGAAGACCGUUAUAAAUACUAGCUCUAAGUGACCAGUUACAAAAAUGAGGACAGUAAUGAUCAUGGGUAUUUACGUCUUCCUCACGCGUGUGUCCAUGCGUAUGUGUAUGUUUGUGCGUAUAUAUACGAGGGCGAGUCAAAAAUUAUCCGCACUCUGGCCGUAGAACUUAAUUAACUUUUAGAAAAGACAAAUACAUCAUUUUUUGACAUAAUCUCCUUGCUUUUCAAUACACUUUGUCCAUCUGUCAACAAGCUUUCCUAUUCCCUCAUUUAAAAAUGUUUUGGGCUGAGCUGUGAGCCACGAAUGCACCGCUGUCUUCACUUCUUCAUCAGAAGUGAAUCUUCGUCCUCAUAGGGCUGCUUUCAGGGGACCAAACAGGUGAAAGUCCAAUGGAGCAAGAUCAGGACUAUGGGGAAGAUGCUUUAACUCCUCAAAGUGAAGUUUUUGCAGAGUGUCGACAGUGUGGGUAAAAGUGUGUGGAUGUGCAUUGUCAUGCAAGAUCACAAUGCCCUUGGAUAGGAAUCCUCUGCAUUUAAUCUCAAGUUUAGGCUUCAGCACAAACUUUUUGAAAUCUAAGUCUGUCGUGGAUUAUUUCAUAGGCAGAGCCAUGGCUGAUUUGCAAAUGAUUUGCCACAUAAUCCACUGUCACUCGUCUAUUCGACAGAAUCAUUUCACAUGUUGCUCAAUGCUGUCAUCAUCUGUGGAUGUGGACGGCUGUCUGGCUCCUUCUUGAUGGCUAAAACUUGUGCGACCUUCCUUGAACUUCUCUAUCCAUUCAUACACACUUCUUUACGACAAAACACUUUCUCCAUACUGGGAACAAAGUCUUCAAUAAAUAACAGCGCCAGGCACACCCUCAGACCACAAAAAACGAAUCACUGCACGCUGCUCUUCUUUCGUGCAAAUCACAAGUGGGGCAUCGAUUUUUGCUCGCACCGCAGUUACAAAUGAACUAAUGUAACACGCUCACACUUGCACAGUAGUAACUGGGGAGACAGUAGCCUAGAAUGGAAAGCACUAAGACAGUGCAGCCAACAGAAGUUUUAAUAUAACCAGAGUGCAGAUAACUUUUGACCCACCAUCAGAUAUGUCAUAACUAUCUGUUUUUCCCCCUUUCUUAUUCCUUUAUCACAUAAGAUGUUCUGACUUUAUAUAUUUAAGUGUUGUUAAUUGCAUCACAGUAUUUAAGUUACAGGGCUUCAAGGAGAAGAGUGAAUAUCACCUAAGGACUUUGCAUUCUCUUCUGGGGAAAGAAACAGAACAUUAGAAUUAUAUGCAGAGUAACGGUUACCAUGUUAGAUGGCAGCAUAACCUUGCUAUUGUCUUUAUUCAGAGAUCAAGUAUGGUUUAAGGAGAUGUGUUUGGGUACCAAGUUGAUAAGGGUUACACUUGUGAUGGUUAAUUGAAUGUGUCAACUUAGGUAGGCCAUGGUACCCUGAGAUUUCAUUAAACACCUGAAUGAUGCUGUAAAGAUAUUUUUAGAUGAGAUUAAUAUUUAAAUCAGUGGACUCUGAGUAAAGAAAAUGACCCUCUACAAUGUGGGUGGGCCUCAUCCAAUUAGUUGAAGCCCUUAAGAGAACACAGACUGAGGUCCCCCAAGGAAAAGGGAGUCCUGUCUCCAGACUAUCUUUUGGACCCAAGCUGCAACAUCAACUCUUCUUUGGGUCUCAAGCCUGCUAGUCUGCCCUGAAGAUUUGGACUUGUCAGCUCCCAAAUUGCAUGAGCCAAUUCCUUAAAAUAAAUAACUC